rnacentral:rRNA from 1 species
UACAGAGGUCUCAAGCGUUGUUCGGAUUCAUUGGGCGUAAAGGGUGCGUAGGUGGCGCGGUAAGUCGGGUGUGAAAUUUCGGAGCUUAACUCCGAAACUGCAUUCGAUACUGCCGUGCUUGAGGACUGGAGAGGAGACUGGAAUUUACGGUGUAGCAGUGAAAUGCGUAGAGAUCGUAAGGAAGACCAGUGGCGAAGGCGGGUCUCUGGACAGUUCCUGACGCUGAGGCGCGAAAGCCAGGGGAGCAAACGGG